rnacentral:tRNA from 1 species
GCAUAGAUGGUUCAGUGGUAGAAUUCUCGCCUCCCAUGUGGGAGGCCCAGGUUCAAGUCUUGGCCAACGUC